rnacentral:rRNA from 1 species
UACAGAGGUCUCAAGCGUUGUUCGGAAUCACUGGGCGUAAAGCGUGCGUAGGCUGUUUCGUAAGUCGUGUGUGAAAGGCGCGGGCUCAACCCGCGGACGGCACAUGAUACUGCGAGACUAGAGUAAUGGAGGGGGAACCGGAAUUCCAUGUGUAGCGGUGAAAUGCGUAGAUAUAUGGAGGAACACCGGUGGCGAAAGCGGCUCUCUGGCCUGUAACUGACACUGAGGCUCGAAAGCGUGGGGAGCAAACAGG